CCUACGGGCGGCAGCAGUGGGGAAUAUUGCACAAUGGGCGCAAGCCUGAUGCAGCCAUGCCGCGUGUGUGAAGAAGGCCUUCGGGUUGUAAAGCACUUUCAGCGGGGAGGAAGGCGGUGAGGUUAAUAACCUCAUCGAUUGACGUUACCCGCGGAAGAAGCACCGGCUAACUCCGUGCCAGCAGCCGCGGUAAUACGGAGGGUGCAAGCGUUAAUCGGAAUUACUGGGCGUAAAGCGCACGCAGGCGGUCUGUCAAGUCGGAUGUGAAAUCCCCGGGCUCAACCUGGGAACUGCAUUCGAAACUGGCAGGCUAGAGUCUUGUAGAGGGGGGUAGAAUUCCAGGUGUAGCGGUGAAAUGCGUAGAGAUCUGGAGGAAUACCGGUGGCGAAGGCGGCCCCCUGGACAAAGACUGACGCUCAGGUGCGAAAGCGUGGGGAGCAAACAGGAUUAGAUACCCUUGUAGUC
rnacentral:rRNA from 1 species